GCGUAGGCGGAAUGAUAAGUCAGUGGUGAAAGCCUGCAGCUUAACUGCAGAACUGCCAUUGAUACUGUCAAUCUUGAGUACAUUUGAUGUGGGCGGAAUGUGUCAUGUAGCGGUGAAAUGCUUAGAUAUGACACAGAACACCGAUUGCGAAGGCAGCUCACAAAACUGUAACUGACGCUGAGGCACGAAAGCGUGGGUAUCAAACAGGAUUGGAUACCCUGGUAGUCCACGCUGUAAACUAUGAUUACUCGAUGUUUGCGAUACACUGUAAGCGUCUAAGCGAAAGCGAUAAGUAAUCCACCUGGGGAGUACGCUCGCAAGAGUGAAACUCAAAGGAAUUGA
rnacentral:rRNA from 1 species